UAGGGCCAUUUAUCGUCCGAGACCCAAAAUCUAAUACCAGUUCUAACGCCACUGUGAAUCAGACAUGUAAUUUAACGAGAGAAGAGGUGGCGGAAGACAUACACAAGCUAAUGUAUAUAGAGGCUGGGAUCGCAGUGGCAGUAUUCUUAGCCAUAAUUGUAUACUUUCCCGCCAAACCACCCACGCCUCCCAGCGUGACCGCUGCUGAAACCAGAACAAGUUACUUCUCUGGACUGCUGGCGUUAGUCAAAAAACCCCAGGUGUGGCUUAUUGCCACCCCAUACGG